rnacentral:rRNA from 1 species
GAUGAACGCUGGCGGCGUGCCUAAUACAUGCAAGUAGAACGCUGAAGGAAGGAGCUUGCUCUUUCCGGAUGAGUUGCGAACGGGUGAGUAACGCGUAGGUAACCUGCCUGGUAGCGGGGGAUAACUAUUGGAAACGAUAGCUAAUACCGCAUAACAGUAGAUGUUGCAUGAUAUCUACUUAAAAGGUGCAAUUGCACCGCUACCAGAUGGACCUGCGUUGUAUUAGCUAGUUGGUGAGGUAACGGCUCACCAAGGCGACGAUACAUAGCCGACCUGAGAGGGUGAUCGGCCACACUGGGACUGAGACACGGCCCAGACUCCUACGGGAGGCAGCAGUAGGGAAUCUUCGGCAAUGGACGGAAGUCUGACCGAGCAACGCCGCGUGAGUGAAGAAGGUUUUCGGAUCGUAAAGCUCUGUUGUAAGAGAAGAACGAGUGUGAGAGUGGAAAGUUCACACUGUGACGGUAUCUUACCAGAAAGGGACGGCUAACUACGUG